rnacentral:rRNA from 1 species
GAGUUUGAUCCUGGCUCAGAUUGAACGCUGGCGGCAUGCCUUACACAUGCAAGUCGAACGGCAGCAUGACGUGUAGCAAUACACGUUGAUGGCGAGUGGCGAACGGGUGAGUAAUAUAUCGGAACGUGCCCUGUAGCGGGGGAUAGCCCGGCGAAAGCCGGAUUAAUACCGCAUACGCUCUACGGAGGAAAGCGGGGGUCGCAAGACCUCGCACUAUAGGAGCGGCCGAUAUCGGAUUAGCUAGUUGGCGGGGUAAAAGCCCACCAAGGCGACGAUCCGUAGCUGGUCUGAGAGGAUGAUCAGCCACACUGGAACUGAGACACGGUCCAGACUCCUACGGGAGGCAGCAGUGGGGAAUUUUGGACAAUGGGCGCAAGCCUGAUCCAGCCAUGCCGCGUGAGUGAAGAAGGCCUUCGGGUUGUAAAGCUCUUUCGGCAGGAACGAAAUGGUCCGUGCUAAUACCACGGACUGAUGACGGUACCUGAAGAAGAAGCACCGGCUAACUACGUGCCAGCAGCCGCGGUAAUACGUAGGGUGCAGGCGUUAAUCGGAAUUACUGGGCGUAAAGCGUGCGCAGGCGGUUUCUUAAGUCAGUGUGAAAUCCCCGGGCUUAACCUGGGAACUGCGUUUGAAACUGGGAAACUCGAGUGUGGCAGAGGGGGGUGGAAUUCCACGUGUAGCAGUGAAAUGCGUAGAUAUGUGGAGGAACACCGAUGGCGAAGGCAGCCCCCUGGGUUAACACUGACGC